rnacentral:rRNA from 1 species
UACGGGGGGGGCAAGCGUUGUUCGGAAUUACUGGGCGUAAAGGGCUCGUAGGCGGCCAACUAAGUCGGACGUGAAAUCCCUCGGCUUAACCGGGGAACUGCGUCCGAUACUGGAUGGCUUGAGUUCGGGAGAGGGAUGCGGAAUUCCAGGUGUAGCGGUGGAAAUGCGUAGAUAUCUGGAGGAACACCGGUGGCGAAGGCGGCAUCCUGGACCGACACUGACGCUGAGGAGCGAAAGCCAGGGGAGCAAACGGG